AUGGCUCUGCCCUUUUUACAGGUUGCAGAAAGCACCCGUUACAGUUCUUUUAAUUUAUCAGAGAAAAAAACGAGAUGCCCUCAUGUGCCCCUUCCCUCUCACAGUAAUAAUCAGAACCAGUCUAUUUUCCAAGGGUCCGAGACUUAUUUUCAAAAAAAUGUAUAUCAAUAGAUGUAACAGCGAGAAGAUUAUUUUGCCAAGUUCCAACCCCCAGCACAAGGAAGGUGCCCUGGCUGAGGAGAGCAUUUAUAAAACCACAUUUAAUAAAAGAGAGUGUUAUAUUAAGUAUGUUUGCUAGUGUAUUUAAGCAUAUGGUUUCCAUAUCAGGCAGAAAGAUGGCAAACACAUGCUUUUACCUUCCUGCUAACCUUUCCUGGUAACGUCCAUUUCUGGUGGGUUGGUAGAAUAGUGGGAUUUGGGGGUGGGGGUGAGUAUGUUGUUUUGUUUUGCUUUUUUUUUUUUUUACAACCCUAGUUCACGUGGAAAAGCCCAGAAGAACAUCCAGCCAACACGUGGAGACUGCUUUUUCUACUUAUGUAAUUAGCCCAGGAAGCUUGCUCUGCUAACUUUCUGCAACAGUCCCAGCAUUCUUCCUGGCUCCCUGGCCCUCUCCAAGGCACGAGGGUCUGGCCAACUUGAAAGUGUGAAUCAAGUUCAGCUGCAAAGAACUGAGCUCCUGGAUUUUAAGUGUGAGCGCUUGGGUUGAAGACAUUGAGCGCCCAAGGAAGGAAGCAACUUGUGCAUUCCCAGCUGUUCCUUGUGUGUGCUUGACCCUGGCAAUGAAGAAGGAAAAGUAGAUCAGUCUCCUGUGGCUCUGAGAGCCAGAGGCAUUUCUCUGCCAUACAAAAUGUCUGCUUUACCCCCAGCCCUUCUCCAGCCUUCUAGCUCCCAUGAAAAGAACUCAGGACCCCUCACCCAGAGAGAACCAUGAUACAGGCCAGGGAAGCCAGCAUGGUUUUCUGCCUGAAUACCCUCCUCUCCUGGCUGCCGGUGGAUGACUGGACCCCAGCAGCUCCUAAGACAAGAGUCAGUGCCCGCCUGGCAUGGAAGGUCCUGACAGAUUGCCAAGCUGGAGGUGCUUGAAGAAGUUCAAGUUACACACACUAGGGCUUGUUGAGUCCCCAGACCUGGCCUGAGACUCUGAAUUUCUAACAAGCCUCUCGUGAAGAUGGAUUUUUGCUGGCCUGGAGACCACAGUGAGAGUACCAAAGGGGUGUCUUGCUGUGGCCAGAACUCCUGCCCAACUUCUAAAGCUACAAAUGGUUCCGUGGAGCCACUCAUCUGGACACCUAAGAGGCAAACAAGUCUACUUCUAAUUGUUACGGAUGCGCCCUCCUUGGGAGGCUCUGCCAGCCUUCACAGUUGCCUUGGGACUCUAGCCAGCCUCCCGUUGCCUCACGAGUGUGACCUUGGCUCUCUACCCCUCCACCCCCGUGUGAAUCUGUUGCCCAGUAACACAGAAAGAAGAAACACAGGAACAGAGCUCUCACUACAGAUACUGUAGUGAGCAGGGCCAUGCUUUUGCAAGGCAGGAAAUGCUAAAGGGUGCUAGCUACACCCCAGAAGCUGGAAGGACAGGUUGGGUCCCAUUCUGCCCUCAGGAAAGAGGGGGAGGCAGAGGGGCUCAGAAGCAGGCAGCUCUGCCCACCUUCGCUUCAAACUUCAUCCUCCAGAACU